UACAGAGGUCUCAAGCGUUGUUCGGAUUCAUUGGGCGUAAAGGGUGCGUAGGUGGCGCCGUAAGUCAGGUGUGAAAUUUCGGAGCUUAACUCCGAAACUGCAUUCGAUACUGCUUGGCUCGAAGACAGGAGAGGGAAGUGGAAUUCCCGGUGUAGCGGUGAAAUGCGUAGAUAUCGGGGAGGAACACCUGUGGCGAAGGCGGCCCCCUGGUUGGAUACUGACGCUGAUACGCGAAAGCGUGGGGAGCAAACAGG
rnacentral:rRNA from 1 species